UGCUUAGUUGAAUUUUGAGUCCGUUGGUAAGAGGGUUUUCUGCUGUAUUUUGAUUCUUAGUGUGUUAAAACUUGUCAAUGCAUGUUCUUUACAUUUAUUUUGCAUAAUAUUGAUGUUAAUAGAACUGUGUCAGCAUGUGGAUUUCUGCAGAAUUCAUUCUUGCUUUGGCUGUAAGUGGAGUCCAAUCUAAAGAUUUUCAGCAUGAUGAAAGCUGUCCCACUGGCUGGGAAAAAUUCCGGAUGCAAUGUUUUAAAUUUUUCAGUGACUUGAAACCAUGGGCUGAAGCAGAG